rnacentral:lncRNA from 1 species
UAAAGUAUUCCCCAGUGAAGCUUUUGACUUCUCCAGUACUCCAGAUACGCCCUGAGAAAUGCCAAAUCAAAAAAUGAGAAGGAAGCCAGUUGAUUUAUAGAAUACCUAACAGUAUUUCUAAGCCAUUGUGACAUUGCAAUAGAGAUCUAAGAUCAAGCAUCUGAGAGAGUGAAAGGAAUUGCAAGGUGACUCCUCAACUGAAGGUCAACUGAACUCAGUUCUGACACAUAUGUUAAGGGCAAACCAAUGGUGUCCAUCUGGAGCAGAGUGGUGACAUAAUAUGCCCUAUUUGCUGGCCUGAUCAGGUCUCUCUGAAAAGAAGUCCCUGGAUAACUCACACAA